CCUACGGGAGGCAGCAGUGGGGGAUAUUGCACAAUGGGGGAAACCCUGAUGCAGCGACGCCGCGUGAGUGAAGAAGUAUUUCGGUAUGUAAAGCUCUAUCAGCAGGGAAGAAAAUGACAGUACCUGACCAAGAAGCCCCGGCUAACUACGUGCCAGCGGCCGCGGUAAUGCGGAGGGGGCAAGCGUUAUCCGGAUUUACUGGGUGUAAAGGGAGCGUAGACGGUUAUGUAAGUCUGGAGUGAAAGCCCGGGGCCCAACCCCGGGACUGCUUUGGAAACUGGGUAACUGGAGUACAGGAGGGGCAUGCGGAAUGCGUGGUGUAGCGGUGAAAUGCGUAGAUAUCAGGAGGAACACCGACGGCGAAGGCGGCCUGCUGGACUGAAACUGACGUUGAGGCUCGAAAGCGUGGGGAGCGAACAGGAUUAGAUACCCCUGUAGUC
rnacentral:rRNA from 1 species